GGUGAACCAGCGGAGGGAUCAUUAUAGAGUCUCUGAACUCCCAAACCUUUGUGAACAUACCACUGUUGCUUCGGCGGCGUUCUGGGUGUCUCCGGGCAUCCAGGGUUCCACGCGCCGCCGAGGGUACCAAACUCUUGUCUUUAUAUCGGACUUCUGAGUGAAAAUACAAAAUAAAUUAAAACUUUCAGCAACGGAUCUCUUGGCUCUGGCAUCGAUGAAGAACGCAGCGAAAUGCGAUAAGUAAUGUGAAUUGCAGAAUUCAGUGAAUCAUCGAAUCUUUGAACGCACAUUGCGCCCACCAGUAUUCUGGUGGGCAUGCCUGUCCGAGCGUCAUUUCAACCCUCAGGCCCAGCCUGGUGUUGGGGAUUGGCUUCGCGGCCACCCCCGAAAUGCAGUGGCGGCCCUCCGCGAACUCCUCUGUGCAGUAGUGAUACCUCGCAUUGGAUAGUGGUUGCGCCUCGCCGUAAAACCUCCAACUUCUCAAGGUUGACCUCGGAUCAGGUAGGAAUACCCGCUGAACUUAAGCAUAUCAAUAAGCGGAGGAA
rnacentral:rRNA from 1 species